rnacentral:rRNA from 1 species
AUUGAACGCUGGCGGCAUGCCUUACACAUGCAAGUCGAACGGUAACGAGCCUUCGGGUGCCGACGAGUGGCGAACGGGUGAGUAAUACAUCGGAACGUGCCCGAUCGUGGGGGAUAACGAGGCGAAAGCUUUGCUAAUACCGCAUACGAUCUACGGAUGAAAGCAGGGGACCGCAAGGCCUUGCGCGGACGGAGCGGCCGAUGGCAGAUUAGGUAGUUGGUGGGAUAAAAGCUUACCAAGCCGACGAUCUGUAGCUGGUCUGAGAGGAUGAUCAGCCACACUGGGACUGAGACACGGCCCAGACUCCUACGGGAGGCAGCAGUGGGGAAUUUUGGACAAUGGGCGCAAGCCUGAUCCAGCCAUGCCGCGUGCAGGAUGAGGGCCUUCGGGUUGUAAACUGCUUUUGUACGGAACGAAAAGCCUUCUUUUAAUACAGGAGGGUCAUGACGGUACCGUAAGAAUAAGCACCGGCUAACUACGUG